rnacentral:rRNA from 1 species
UCAGGUGGCCGCAGAGAAUAGGCCCAAGCGACUGUUUACCAAAAACAUAGGUUUCUGCUAAGUCGCAAGACGAUGUAUAGGAGCUGACGCCUGCCCGGUGCUGGAAGGUUAAGGGGAUCUGUUAGAGCAAUCGAAGCAGUGAACUUAAGCCCCAGUAAACGGCGGCCGUAACUAUAACGGUCCUAAGGUAGCGAAAUUCCUUGUCGGGUAAGUUCCGACCCGCACGAAAGGCGUAACGAUUUGGGCACUGUCUCAACAACAGACUCGGUGAAAUUGUAAUUCCGGUGAAGAUGCCGGAUACCUGCGACAGGACGGAAAGACCCCAUGGAGCUUUACUGUAGCUUGACAUUGGGUCUUGGUACUACAUGUACAG